UACGUAGGUGGCGAGCGUUGUCCGGAAUUACUGGGCGUAAAGGGCGUGUAGGCGGGGGGACAAGUCAGAUGUGAAAUACCGCAGCUUAACUGCGGGGCUGCAUCUGAAACUGUUCUUCUUGAGUGUCGGAGAGGAAAGUGGAAUUCCCAGUGUAGCGGUGAAAUGCGUAGAGAUUGGGAGGAACACCAGUGGCGAAGGCGGCUUUCUGGACGACAACUGACGCUGAGGCGCGAAAGCGUGGGGAGCAAACAGG
rnacentral:rRNA from 1 species